AGGCAACGCCUGCCCAGUGAACAAUUAAACGGCCGCGGUACCCUAACCGUGCAAAGGUAGCGUAAUCAUUUGUCUAUUAAUUGUAGACCCGUAUGAAAGGCAUAAUGAGGGUCUAACUGUCUCUUAUAAUAAAUCAAUUAAACUGAUCUUCUAGUACAAAAGCUAGAAUGCCAACAUAAGACCAGAAGACCCUGUGAAGCUUUAACAAAACUAUUAAACCCCAUAAUAACUACUUUAGGUUGGGGCGACCUUGGAAAAAAAAUAAACUUCCAAAUNNAUGACUAAAAAUCAUAAUAANNGGCCUACAAGCCNCACAANCGACCCAGCAUAGCUGAUCAUUGAACCAAGUUACUCCAGGGAUAACAGCGCUAUCUUCUUUAAGAGCCCAUAUCAAAAAGAAGGUUUACGACCUCGAUGUUGGAUCAGGACAUCCUAAUGGUGAAGAAGCUAUUAAG
rnacentral:rRNA from 1 species